rnacentral:rRNA from 1 species
AAUAUUGGACAAUGGGCGAAAGCCUGAUCCAGCCAUGCCGCGAGUGUGAAGAAGGUCUUCGGAUUGUAAAGCAUUUUAAGUUGGGAGGAAGGGUUGUAGGUUAAUACCCUUCAAUUUUGACGUUACCAAUAGAUUAAGCACCGGCUAACUUCGUGCCAGCAGCCGAGGUAAUACGAAGGGUGCAAGCGUUAAUCGGAAUUACUGGGCGUAAAGCGUGCGUAGGUGGUUCGUUAAGUUGGAAGUGAAAGCCCCGGGCUCAACCUGGGAACUGCUUUCAAAACUGACGAGCUAGAGUACGGUAGAGGGUAGUGGAAUUUCCUGUGUAGCGGUGAAAUGCGUAGAUAUAGGAAGGAACAUCAGUGGCGAAGGCGACCACCUGGGCUAAUACUGACACUGAGGUGCGAAAGCGUGGGGAGCAAACAGG